rnacentral:rRNA from 1 species
GACGAACGCUGGCGGCGUGCUUAACACAUGCAAGUCGAACGCUGAAGCUUGGUGCUUGCACUGGGUGGAUGAGUGGCGAACGGGUGAGUAAUACGUGAGUAACCUGCCCUUGACUCUGGGAUAAGCCUGGGAAACUGGGUCUAAUACUGGAUACGACAUGUCACCGCAUGGUGGUGUGUGGAAAGGGUUUUACUGGUUUUGGAUGGGCUCACGGCCUAUCAGCUUGUUGGUGGGGUAAUGGCUCACCAAGGCGACGACGGGUAGCCGGCCUGAGAGGGUGACCGGCCACACUGGGACUGAGACACGGCCCAGACUCCUACGGGAGGCAGCAGUGGGGAAUAUUGCACAAUGGGCGGAAGCCUGAUGCAGCGACGCCGCGUGAGGGAUGACGGCCUUCGGGUUGUAAACCUCUUUCAGCACGGAAGAAGCGAAAGUGACGGUACGUGCAGAAGAAGCGCCGGCUAACUACGG